AGACCCGGCACGCUAAGCCGCCUGGUGGAUGGCUCGGCUUGGGCGCCGAGGAAGGGCGUGGCAAGCUGCGAUAAGCCCCGGGGAGGCGCAUGCAGCCUUAGAUCCGGGGAUCCCCGAAUGGGACCUCCUGCCAUGGGUUAAUAGCCCAUGGCGCUCCCACCCUCCUCGGAGGGGGGAGUGGGAACCCCCCGAACGGAAACAUCCAAGUAGGGGGAGGAAAAGAAACCAUCAUGGGAUUCCCUGAGUACCGGCGAGGGAAAGGGGAGGAGCCCAAACCGAACCCCUGGGGCUGACAAACCCCACGGGGAUGUGGUGUAGAGGCUCAGCCUAUAACGCCCACCACCCUGGGAAGCCGAAGUGGCCUGGAACGGCCCGCCAUAGAGGGUGAUAGCCCCGUAGGCGUAACCAGGGUUAGUGGGCUGGCUGAGCCGGAGUACCACACCUUGGUUUUGGUGUGGGAAUCUGGGUGGAACCAGCAUCCAAGGCUAAAUACGUCCCAAGACCGAUAGCGCACUAGUACGGUGACGGAAAGCUGAAAAGCACCCCGGAAGGGGGGUGAAAAGAGCCUGAAACCAGGCGGCGAUAUCCGUGUGGGGCCCGAAAGGGUGGAUCCACCCCGAAGGAAGCCGUGGCGACACGGUUGUACGAGGGGUGGGGACCAGGGUCCCACGUUCCGUUUCGAACCACGGGCCGGGGAGUUCACCUCCACGGCGAGCUUAAGGGCUUUAAAGCCCGUAGGCGGAGGGAAACCGACAGGUCCGCAGCCGGGCCGCGAGGCUCGGUGAGGGACGGGGUCUGAAAGGGCCCGGAGUCGUGGGGGUGAUAACCAGAAACCGGGCGAUCUAGCCCUGGGCAGGGCGAAGCCGGGCGAAAGCCCGGUGGAGGCCCGAAGGGAUGUUGACGUGCAAUUCGCUCCUCUGACCUGGGGCUAGGGGCCAAAAGCCAAUCUAGCCCGGUGAUAGCUGGUUCCUCCCGAAAUGGGUCGCAGCCCAGCCUCAGGCGAGGUAGCCUAGGGGGUAGAGCACCGAUAGGGUGGCAAGGGUCCGAAAGGGCCCACCACCCUUUCGAACUCCGAAUCCCUAGGCUCCGUAGACCCUGGGAGACGGGCGUCGGGGGGUAAGCUCCCGAGCCGCGAGGGGAACAACCCGGACAGGGGUUAAGGCCCCUAAAUGCCGGCUAAGUGUUAACGCGAAGGGAGUCCCCAGCCUGAGACAGCUGGGAGGUAGGCUUAGAAGCAGCCACCCUCUAAGCAACGCGUAACAGCGGACCAGCCGAGGCUGGGGGCCCCGAAAAUGGACGGGGCUUAAGCCGGCUGCCGAUACCCCUGGGCCCGGCGUACACGCGCCGGGUUGGUAGGGAGGCGUCGCGGCUGGGUAGAAGCCGAGCCGUAAGGUUCGGUGGACCGGCCGCGAAUGUAGAUCCCGGUGGUAGUAGCAGCAAAGAGGGGUGAGAAUCCCCUCCGCCGCAGGGGCCAGGGUUCUCCGGCAAUGCUCGUCAGCCGGAGGUUAGUCGGUCCUAAGGCGGCCCUUAACCGGUCGCCGCCGAAAGGGAAACCGGUUUAUAUUCCGGUACCGUAGGGGUACGUGCGGCGACGCAGGCUCCCAACCUGACGCCUCCGGGUAGGCUGAGUGGGGUUGCCGCCCCAUUUAACCGCUGAAGCCUGGGGAGUGCCGUAAGGGCGAGAACCAGGUGAAGGCGGGAAUAGCCUCCCGCAUAGGGGGGUUCAGCCGAUCCCGGGGGACAGGGAAAAGGGUUGGGAGAAGGAUCCCCUACGACCGUACCUAGAACCGACACAGGUGCCCCUGGGUGAGAAGCCUAAGGCGUGUCGGGUCAACGCGGGUGAGGGAAUUCGGCAAAUUAGCCCCGUACCUUCGGAAGAAGGGGUGCCUGCGGUCUUAGCCCACGAAGGCUGGGACUGCAGGUCGCAGUGACAAGGGGGCCCCGACUGUUUAAUAAACGGGUAGAGACGCCGGAUGAGGCUGAAGAAUUUUAAAUAGACCUCGUCUUCAUUAAGAGAUAUGAUAAUGAGUAGUGAACAGCGAAAUGACGCAUAUAUCAUGGGAUUAUUUUAUGGAGACGGCACAACCUACAAGACGAAGAAAGGCGCCUAUCAGGUUUGGAUAGACCAGUCAGAUAAAAACAAGGAUAUACUAGAAUAUGUGGCGGUACCUAAGCUUAGGCUAAUGAACGUCAAACUGUUCUUCUAUCAAUUUAUUGAUAGAAGACAUCGGUUAAAGAAAUGGAGAUUGGCUCUUUAUUCAAAAACGUUCUUUGAUAGAUUAAAAAAGGUCAAGCGAGAUCCUUUAGGAUAUUUAAAGACGCUUAACGAUGAUGAAGUAAGGUAUUUUAUUGCAGGCUUGUUCGACGCUGAAGGCACUAAGACCGAUAGACUAGUUAUAUAUAACAGAAAUCUCGAACUCUUACAGGAGAUAGGAAGACGACUUAGCAAUUUUAAUAUUCACUCUAAAAUUUACAAGUUCGGCUCAAUUUAUGGUUUACAAAUUCACAGGAAAAGCUCUGUGAAGAUUUUCCUUAAAAUAAUACCGUCUUACAGGUUGACGGCGUCCUCGCCCGGUUAAAAAACAUAGGUAGCCGCAAGCCCGAAAGGGUGUGUACGGCUGCUGAAUCCUGGCCAGUGCCGGUACCUAAAACCCGGGUCCAACCGGGCUAAGGGCCGGUAAACGCCGGGAGUAACUCUGACUCUCUCAACGGAGCCGCCUCGCCGUCGAAUAGAUUUAAGAGAGUUCUGAUGGUAUGAACAUUAGUAGUGUUGAGUGAGGAUUAUACGAAAGGAUAUGUUUCAGGUUUUAUAGACGCUGAUGGAAGCUUCUCAGUAAGCAUCAAGGUUCAAAGAGAUGUCCGCUAUGGUGUCAGAAUAGACCCAGUGUUUAGCGUGACCCAGAGAAACAGGGAAGUUCUAGAAUUUCUUAGAAGAGCUUUAGGCUGUGGUAGGAUUAUUAAGAAGCCCGGUCAGGAAAACUUAUGGCUGUAUAUCGUGGAUAGAGGAGCUUAACGGUAAGCUACUGCGGUUUCUAGAAGAUGGAUGCCGGCUGAUCGUUAAGGAUAGGCAGUUGAAGCUCUUUACCGAAAUAGUAAAGGGGCUUAUCGAGAAGCAACACUAUAGUUAUGAAGGAAUUAAACAGCUUGUUCAUCUAUCUUAUGAGCUUUCAUCUUUAGGCGGUAAAGCCGUAAGGCGUAGAAGCCUGAACGAGGUUCUCACGAUAAUAGAGGAAUAUGAGAUGAGACGGCGGGACGCUCCGGGAGAAAGGUAGCCAAAUGCCUUGUCGGAUGACAUCCGACGUGCAUGAAUGGAUCAACGAGGGCCCCGCUGUCCCCACCCGGGACCCGGUGAAGCUACCUGGUGGUGAAAAGUCCACCGUCCCCCAGCGGGGUGAGAAGUCCCCGUGGAGCUUUACUGCAGCCUGUUGUUGGGGUAUGGCUGUGGAUGCGUAGGGUAGGUGGGAGCCUUUGAGCCAGCCCUUCCGGGGGCUGGGGAGGCGCCGAUGAAACACCACCCUUCCACGGCUGUACCCCUAACCUGGGUGCCAAACCCGGGGACAGCAGCAGGUGGGCAGUUUGCCUGGGGCGGCGCCCCCUUGAAAAGAUAUCGAGGGGGCCCUAAGGCCAGCUCAGGCGGGUCGGAAACCCGCCGUAGAGGGCAAGGCCAAAAGCUGGCCUGACUGGGUCCUUCACAGUAAGGGACCCAGGGGUGAAAGCCGGGCCUAGCGAUCCUCCAUGACCCCACUGGUGGGGGCUGGAGGUGACAGAAAAGUUACCCCGGGAAUAAUUGGCUUGUCGCGGGCGAGAGUUCACAUCGACCUCGCGGCUUGGUACGCCGUCGUCGUCCCUUCCCAUCCUGGCGGUGCAUAAGCCGCCAAGGGUGAGUCUGCUCGCCUAUUAAAGGGGAAUGCGAGAUGGGUUUAGACCGUCGUGAGACAGGUCGGACUCUACCUGCUGGGGGUGCUGGCCGCCUGAGGGGAGCCCGUCCUCAGUACGAAAGGAACGGGGCGGGGUGGCCUCUGGUGUACCAGCUGUCCGGUAGGGCAAGCUGGGCAGCCACGCCGCUGGGGAUAAGGGCUGAAGGCAUCUAAGCCCGAAGCCCCUCCCGAAAAUAGGCGGCCAUUCCUAGGCGUAGGAGGCCCGGCGACGGGUCUCAUGCCUAGGACGAGGGCUGGGGUAGAACACCCCGUUGAUGGGGUGGGGGUGUAAGCCGGAAGGUCUUCGGACCGACCGGUUCAGCCCGCCACUCCCAAUCGCCCGAGGUGCUGGGUCG
rfam:Candidatus Bathyarchaeota archaeon B24 scaffold119, whole genome shotgun sequence.